AUUGGCAUCACAGACUGUUAUUGCCUCAAACUUCCAUCAACUUGAGUUGAUAGUCUCUCUAAGAAGCCGGCGACCAACCAAAGUUAGCCUGGCUAUUUAGCAGWAGUAAGAGUCUCGCUCGUUAUCGCAAUUAAGCAGACAAGUCACCCCACGAACUAAGAACGGCCAUGCACCACCACCUGAAAAAUCAAGAAAGAGCUCUCAAUCUGUCAAUCCUUAUUUCAUCUGGACCUGGUGAGUUUCCCCGUGUUGAGUCAAAUUAAGCCGCAGGCUCCACGCCUGGUGGUGACCUUCCGUCAAUUACUUUAAGUUCAGGUGACCUGCGGAGGGAUCAUUACACAAAUUGAGGCGGGCUGGACCUCUCGGGGUUACAGCCUUGCUGAAUUAUUCACCCUUGUCUUUUGCGUACUUCUUGUUUCCUUGGUGGGUUCGCCCACCACUAGGACAAACAUAAACCUUUUGUAAUUGCAAUCAGCGUCAGUAACAAAUUAAUAAUUACAACUUUCAACAACGGAUCUCUUGGUUCUGGCAUCGAUGAAGAACGCAGCGAAAUGCGAUAAGUAGUGUGAAUUGCAGAAUUCAGUGAAUCAUCGAAUCUUUGAACGCACAUUGCGCCCUUUGGUAUUCCAAAGGGCAUGCCUGUUCGAGCGUCAUUUGUACCCUCAAGCUUUGCUUGGUGUUGGGCGUCUUGUCUCUAGCUUUGCUGGAGACUCGCCUUAAAGUAAUUGGCAGCCGGCCUACUGGUUUCGGAGCGCAGCACAAGUCGCACUCUCUAUCAGCAAAGGUCUAGCAUCCAUUAAGCCUUUUUUCAACUUUGACCUCGGAUCAGGUAGGGAUACCCGCUGAACUUAAGCA
rnacentral:rRNA from 1 species